CUCCCUUUUCCCUCUAUGCAUCUCUGAUUCUUUAGCUUUGAGCAAAAAAAAUCUCACUACAGAUGGGUACAUCUCUCUCCUUCUCUACUUUUUCUUCUUGCCAGAUCUAUAUGCUCUAUCUAGAUCAUAAUGUGACGGUGGCGUUCUCCUAUAUCCAUAUCGAAAUUAGAUGGUGUGCCGGAUGGUCGAUUCACAAUCCUUUAUGUAGAUGAGAUGCUAGAGGUUUAAUUUUGUUUUCAUCUACUCUUCCGCAGAUGCGAAGCCCAAACCUGAAGCCCAAACCCUCUCAUCCUCUCAGCAAUGCCGCCAUCGUCGUUGCUCUCCAAACCCGCAAUCUCACCGUUGUCCCUUGACACCUCCGACCCCCUCCGCGAUGCCAUUGAGGAGCUCCAGCGUCGCCAGCGCACCGAUGUUGUGCGAUUGGGAACCUCAAAGCUAUCUGCUAUCAUAUGGUGUCAGAGUUGGGGUUGAGAUGUCUCGCAUUUAAGCUGUCUCGCAGAUCGACCUUCUCUUCGCUGCUCGAUCUUAAGUGCAAUAUGCAAGAAGGGAUGGAGGGAAAUCCUGUUGCUAAAACCAUGAAGACUGUUUCAAGAGGCAUGGCUGUUCUUACAGUUCCGUUUACCAUGGACUUUCCAAAGAGUGUAGGCUGAGUUCCUUAUUUACUGGCUAUCAUUCUUAUGGGUGCCAACAAUAGCAAAGACAUACAUUUAAUCAAGCUUUGUGAGGUAUUACUUUAUGGCACAAGAAGCUUAUAACAGAAAGAGCAUAUUCAGGCAUUCUGAGUCACCAAGUAAUUAUCAGGUAUCGAUGCACCCAGUUUGGCAUGUUUCUGUGAAGUGGUUUUCGUUGUAACGUUUAGCUUCUUGUUUAUGUAUCUCUUCCAGCCACAAUCGAGAAUCAUAGCUGGUUCUGAAGGUAUCGAAGGCUUCAACCUGCUCAUGGAAAUGGGGUGUGUAUAUUAGCAAUAUGUACAACUUCAUGAGAGGUUUCAAGUGCCAUCUAUUAUCAUCGCCCAUGAGUUUUAUGAUGCUUUACCAGUUCAUCAAUUUCAGAGGGCUUGUCGUGGCUGGUGUGAGAAAAUGGUGGAUGUUGCAGAAGAUUCAAAGUAAGGAUGUAAUAUUAUGUCUGAUCAAAUUAGUGUUUUCAAGAGAAAUGGGUUAUAUAUUACUCAUAAACAUUGUUUAGGUUCCGUUUUCUUCUUUCUUCACAGCCUACACCAGCAACGCUUUAUCUGGAAAAACGCUGCAAAUGGGCUAGAAUGGAAGAAAUAGCGAAGCUUGAUCAUGUUGAGGUUUGCCCUGCAUCAAUGGAGUUGACUCAAAGUAUUGCUGAUAGAAUUGCUUCUGAUGGGGGUGGUGCUCUUGUAAUUGAUUAUGGUCAGAAUGGAGUAGUCUCUGACAGUCUGCAGGUCUGUUACCUUACCAUUGCUAGUUCUGCUAGUCUUCUGAGAUGUGAGCCAUGAGAUUUUUUGGCUGCUUCCUAACUUUUGCAAUGUCUCAAUUG